rnacentral:rRNA from 1 species
GAUGAACGCUAGCUACAGGCUUAACACAUGCAAGUCGAGGGGUAACGAGAGGAAAGCUUGCUUUCCUUGUCGACGACCGGCGCACGGGUGAGUAACGCGUAUCCAACCUGCCCCCAACUAGGGAAUAACCUUGCGAAAGUAAGACUAAUACCCCAUAAUUUCCUCAGAUGUCAUCUGACGAGGAAUAAAGAUUUAUCGGUUGUGGAUGGGGAUGCGUCUGAUUAGCUUGUUGGCGGGGUAACGGCCCACCAAGGCAACGAUCAGUAGGGGUUCUGAGAGGAAGGUCCCCCACAUUGGAACUGAGACACGGUCCAAACUCCUACGGGAGGCAGUAGUGAGGAAUAUUGGUCAAUGGGCGGAAGCCUGAACCAGCCAAGUAGCGUGCAGGAUGACGGCCCUAUGGGUUGUAAACUGCUUUUAUACAGGAAUAAAGUUAGCCACGUGUGGUUAUUUGUAGGUACUGUAUGAAUAAGGACCGGCUAAUUCCGUGCCAGCAGCCGCGGUAA